GACGUAGGGCGCGAGCGUUGUCCGGAUUUAUUGGGCGUAAAGAGCUCGUAGGCGGUCUGUCGCGUCGGAUGUGAAAAUCCAGGGCUCAACCCUGGACCUGCAUUCGAUACGGGCAGACUAGAGUUCGGUAGGGGAGACUGGAAUUCCUGGUGUAGCGGUGAAAUGCGCAGAUAUCAGGAGGAACACCGGUGGCGAAGGCGGGUCUCUGGGCAUUUCCUGACGCUGAGGCGCGAAAGCGUGGGGAGCAAACGGG
rnacentral:rRNA from 1 species